AUUGAACGCUGGCGGCAGGCUUAACACAUGCAAGUCGAGCGAGCGGCGGACGGGUGAGUAAUGGCUGGGAAACUGCCUGAUGGAGGGGGAUAACUACUGGAACAGGUAGCUAAUACCGCAUACCAUCAGAUGUGCCCAGAUGGGAUUAGCUAGUAGGUGGGGUAAUGGCUCACCUAGGCGCAGAUCCCUAGCUGGUCUGAGAGGAUGACCAGCCACACUGGAAGUGAGACACGGUCCGGACUCCUACGGGAGGCAGCAGUGGGGAAUAUUGCACAAUGGGCGCAAGCCGGAUGCAGCCAUGCCGCGUGUUUGAAGAAGGCCUUCGGGUUGUAAAGCACGUUCAGCGAGGAGGCGUUACUCGCAGAAGAAGCACCGGCUAACUCCGUGCCAGCAGCCGCGGUAAUUC
rnacentral:rRNA from 1 species